rnacentral:sRNA from 1 species
AUAAAUCUAAUUUUUCAGUAUAAGUAUGUUCCAAAAAUUGCAUGGGAUAUGCUUAUACUAAAAAAAAAAAAAAAAAAAAAUGUUGCUAGGCUGGACACGGUGGCUCAUACCUGUAAUCCCAGCACUUUGGGAGGCCGAGGCGGGCAGAUCACCUGAGGUCAGGAGUUCGAGACCAACCUGGGCAACAUGGUGAAACCAUCUCUACUAAAAAUACAAAAAUUAGCCGGGUGUGGUGGUGCACACUUCUAAUCCCAGCUACUCAGGAGGCUGAGACAGGAGAAUUGCUUGAACCUGGGAGGCAGAGGUCACAGUGAGCCAAGAUCACGCCACUAUACUCCAGCCUGGGUGACAGAGUGAGACUCCGUUUAAAAAAAAAAAAGUUGCUAAAUCUGACCGUCCUAAACUAGAUGGCAGACUGAGAAAUGUGACUCCCCUCCCCAGUACCUUGUUUUCUGUGUCCUUGUAGCCGUGGUCCUUCAGCAUAUCUCUGUGCUGCAGACAACACACCUUCCUGAUGGAGGUGCCCGGCUGUUGGAGAAGUCUGGGGGCUUGGAAAUCAUCUUUGAUGUUUACCAGGCCGACGCUGUGGCCACAUUCCGAAAGAAUAACCCUGGCAAACCCUAUGCCCGGAUGUGCAUUAGUGGAUUUGAUGAGCCUGUCCCAGACCUCUGCAGCCUCAAGCGGUUAUCUUACCAGAGUGGGGAUGUCCCUCUGAUCUUUGCCCUGGUGGAUCAUGGUGACAUCUCCUUCUACAGCUUCAGGGACUUCACGUUGCCCCAGGAUGUGGGGCACUGACGUCACAG